rnacentral:rRNA from 1 species
UACGUAGGGUCCAAGCGUUAUCCGGAAUUACUGGGCGUAAAGUGUGCGCAGGCGGCAGAGCAAGUCGAGUGUGAAAGCCCCGGGCUUAACUUGGGAAUUGCGCUCGAAACUACUUUGCUGGAGUGUGGCAGAGGAAGGUGGAAUUCCACGUGUAGCGGUGAAAUGCGUAGAGAUGUGGAGGAACACCAAUGGCGAAGGCAGCCUUCUGGGCCAACACUGACGCUCAUGCACGAAAGCGUGGGGAGCAAACAGG